UACGUAGGGGGCAAGCGUUGUCCGGAUUUAUUGGGCGUAAAGAGCGUGUAGGCGGCUUGGCAAGUCCGCUGUGAAAACUCGAGGCUUAACCUCGAGACGCCGGUGGAAACCAUCAGACUAGAGUCCGGAAGAGGAGAGUGGAAUUCCUGGUGUAGCGGUGAAAUGCGCAGAUAUCAGGAAGAACACCCGUGGCUAAGGCGGCUCUCUAGUACGGUACUGACGCUGAGACGCGAAAGCGUGGGGAGCGAACAGG
rnacentral:rRNA from 1 species